GGUGAACGCUAGUGGCAGGCUUAACACAUGCAAGUCGAGGGGUAUAGUUCUUCGGAGCUAGAGACCGGCGCACGGGUGCGUAACGCGUAUGCAAUCUACCUUUUGCAGAGGGAUAGCCCAGAGAAAUUUGGAUUAAUACCUCAUGGUAUGUGAGAAUGGCAUCAUUUUCACAUUAAAGUCACAACGGCAAAAGAUGAGCAUGCGUCCCAUUAGCUAGUUGGUAAGGUAACGGAUUACCAAGGCAACGAUGGGUAGGGGUCCUGAGAGGGGGAUCCCCCACACGGGUACUGAGACACGGACCAGACUCCUACGGGAGGCAGCAGUGAGGAAUAUUGGACAAUGGGCGCAAGCCUGAUCCAGCCAUGCCGCGUGCAGGAUGACGGUCCUAUGGAUUGUAAACUGCUUUUGUACAGGAAGAAACACUGGUUCGUGAACCAGCUUGACGGUACUGUAAGAAUAAGGAUCGGCUAACUCCGUGCCAGCCGCCGCAGUAAAAC
rnacentral:rRNA from 1 species